AGGUGCGAUCAUACCAACACUAAUGCAUCGGAUCCCAUCAGAACUUUGAAGUUAAGCAUGCUUGGGUGAUGUAUAGUAGUUUUAUACAUACCAGCUCCAUGAGUAAAUUUUUGGUAAAUGUAUCCAUGAUAGCUUCCA
rfam:Cephalotus follicularis DNA, scaffold: scaffold1804, isolate: St1.